GAUGAACGCUGGCGGUAUGCUUUACACAUGCAAGUCGUACGAGAGUUUUUAACUCAAGUGGCGGACGGGUGAGUAACACGUAAGAAUUUACCUUUAGGAGGGGGACAACAACGGGAAACUGUUGCUAAUACCCCAUAUGCUUUCGAGUGAAACGGAUUUUUCCGCCUGAAGAGAAGCUUGCGGCUGAUUAGCUUGUUGGUGAGGUAAUGGCUUACCAAGGCGACGAUCAGUAUCUGGUUUGAGAGGACGAUCAGACACACUGGAACUGAGACACGGUCCAGACUCCUACGGGAGGCAGCAGUGGGGAAUUUCCGCAAUGGCGAAAGCCUGACGGAGCAAGACCGCGUGGGGGAGGAAGGUUUUUGGAUCGUAAACCCCUUUUGUCAAGGAAGAAGCUCUGACGGUACUUGACGAAUAAGCCUCGGCUAACUCCGUGCCAGCGCCGC
rnacentral:rRNA from 1 species